rnacentral:misc_RNA from 1 species
CUAUAGCUAUUUGCAACACAUGUAAACUAAGGCUAGUAAUUGUUAAUUAUGCAAUGGUGGGUUUUUGCUUCCCUCCACACCAUUGCUAGGCCUGAAGAUAUGCGAGUUGUGUGCUUGAAGUCCUGUCAUAUCUUGGAGAAUGUUUUACUUCAUGGACUUACUCUUGUGGGAUGACGUCCUCCUAUGCCUUUUGUGGGCUAGACUAUUCUACACCAUGCAAAUUUAAUUAUGUUGUACAACGCUAUGGUAAUGAUGCAUUCUCCAUUGCAGGAACCUGUUUCCCAUGUUGUGG